rnacentral:rRNA from 1 species
GUGUCAGCCGCCGCGGUAAUACGAAGGGUGCAAGCGUUGCUCGGAAUUAUUGGGCGUAAAGGGUUGGUAGGUGGUCUUGUUUGUCUAAGGUGAAAUCCCAUGGCUUAACUGUGGAAGUGCCUUAGAAACGGCAAGACUAGAGUCCUAGAGGGGUUUGUGGAAUUCCCGGUGUAGCGGUGAAAUGCGUAGAGAUCGGGAGGAACACCAGCGGCGAAGGCGGCAAACUGGAUAGGCACUGACACUCAACAACGAAAGCGUGGGGAGCAAACAGGAUUAGAUACCCCUGUAGUCC